rnacentral:rRNA from 1 species
UACGGAGGGGGCUAGCGUUGUUCGGAAUUACUGGGCGUAAAGCGCACGUAGGCGGCUUUGCAAGUCAGAGGUGAAAGCCCCGGGCUCAACCUGGGAAUUGCGAUGGAGACUGCAAGGCUUGAAUCUGGCAGAGGGGGGUAGAAUUCCACGUGUAGCAGUGAAAUGCGUAGAGAUCUGGAGGAACACCGAUGGCGAAGGCAGCCCCCUGGGCUAGCACUGACGCUCAUACACGAAAGCGAGGGGAGCAACAGGGAUUAAGAA